GGAUGCGAGCGUUAUCCGGAUUAUUGGGUUUAAAGGGUGCGUAGGCGGAAGAUUAAGCAGCGGUUAAACUGCGGAGCUCAACUCCGUAUCGCCGUUGAAACUGGUUUUCUAGAGUGGUGAGAAGUAUGCGGAAUGCGUGGUGUAGCGGUGAAAUGCAUAGAUAUCACGCAGAACUCCAUUGCGAAGGCAGCAUACCGGCACCCAACUGACGCUGAAGCACGAAAGCGUGGGUAUCGACAGGAUUAGAUACCCUGGUAGUCCACGCAGUAAACGAUGAAUACUAAUUGUUUGGCAAAAUGAUUGCUGAGUGAUACAGCGAAAGCGUUAAGUAUUCCACCUGGGGAGUACGCCGGCAACGUGAAACUCAAAGGAAUUGACGGGGGCCCGCACAAGCGGAGGAACAUGUGGUUUAAUUCGUGAUACGCGAGGAACCUUACCCGGGCUCAAACGACAGGGGAAUAUGUCCGAAAGGAUAUACUAGCAAUAGUCGCUGUCGAGGUGCUGCAUGGUUGUCGUCAGCUCGUGCCGUGAGGUGUCGCUUAAGUGCCAUAACGAGCGCAACCCCUAUUGAUAGUUGCUAACAGGUCAAGCUGAGGAUCUAUCGAGACUGCCGGCGCAAGCUGUGAGGAAGGCGGGGAUGACGUCAAAUCAGCACGGCCUUACGUCCGGGGCGACACACGUGUUACAAUGGCAGGUACAGCGGGAAGCCAGGUGGUGCACCGAGCAGAACCCGAAAACCUGUCUCAGUUCGGAUUGGAGUCUGCAACUCGACUCCAUAAGCUGGAUUCGCUAGUAAUCGCGCAUCAGCCAUGGCGCGGUGAAUACGUUCCCGGGCCUGCACACACCGCCCU
rnacentral:rRNA from 1 species